GCCUGACUGGCUCAGUCAGUAGAGCAUGAGACUCUUAAUCUGAGGUUUGUGAAUUCAAAGCCCAUGUGAGGCA
rnacentral:tRNA from 1 species